rnacentral:rRNA from 1 species
GGGAUUGCCCUAGUAACGGCGAGUGAAGCGGCAACAGCUCAAAUUUGAAAUCUGGCGUCUUCGGCGUCCGAGUUGUAAUUUGCAGAGGGCGCUUUGGCAUUGGCAGCGGUCCAAGUUCCUUGGAACAGGACGUCACAGAGGGUGAGAAUCCCGUACGUGGUCGCUAGCCUUUACCGUGUAAAGCCCCUUCGACGAGUCGAGUUGUUUGGGAAUGCAGCUCUAAAUGGGAGGUAAAUUUCUUCUAAAGCUAAAUACUGGCCAGAGACCGAUAGCGCACAAGUAGAGUGAUCGAAAGAUGAAAAGCACUUUGGAAAGAGAGUUAAAAAGCACGUGAAAUUGUUGAAAGGGAAGCGCUUGCAGCCAGACUUGCCUGUAGUUGCUCAUCCGGGUUUCUACCCGGUGCACUCUUCUAUAGGCAGGCCAGCAUCAGUUUGGGCGGUUGGAUAAAGGUCUCUGUCAUGUACCUCUCUUCGGGGAGAACUUAUAGGGGAGACGACAUGCAACCAGCCUGGACUGAGGUCCGCGCAUCUGCUAGGAUGCUGGCGUAAUGGCUGUAAGCGGCCCGUCUUGAAACACGGACCAAGGAGUCUAACAUCUAUGCGAGUGUUUGGGUGUCAAGCCCGAGCGCGUAAUGAAAGUGAACGGAGGUGGGAACCUUUCGGGGUGCACCAUCGACCGAUCCUGAUGUCUUCGGAUGGAUUUGAGUAAGAGCAUAGCUGUUGGGACCCGAAAGAUGGUGAACUAUGCUUGAAUAGGGUGAAGCCAGAGGAAACUCUGGUGGAGGCUCGCAGCGGUUCUGACGUGCAAAUCGAUCGUCAAAUUUGGGCAUAGGGGCGAAAGACUAAUCGAACUAUCUAGUAGCUGGUUCCUGCCGAAGUUUCCCUCAGGAUAGCAGUAACGUUUUCAGUUUUAUGAGGUAAAGCGAAUGAUUAGAGGCAUGGGGGUUGAAACAACCUU